UAUAUAUAUUGUGAUUGGUGACAAAAUGGUUUUCAACUCCUUUGUGUAACUCAUUUUACGUUCACACACAAACAUGAGGCCUUCCAAAUUCCACUGAACUGCUGUAAGUUUCUUUCACACAUUUCUCCUUCUGAUGUUUGUUCUUUUCAGUUUUCAUUUAGUUUAUCAUUAUUGUUUCCUAUUUUCUUCUUUCACACCCUUUUUGUCCCCUCCUGCCUUUGCUAUUUUCCUCUUUUGGUUUCGUUGCUCACUAUUUUUAUUUCUUGCCUGUAGCGUUCAUCAAAUUGGUUGGCCACCACCCGUUUUACAGCACCAUUACGUGUUGACAGGGUUGGGAUUCACAGCCACAAACAUCCUUUAGUUAACAACAUUCUAAAUUUUUAAAAAAACAUACUUGUGUUGACAUGUUUUUGGUGCAGAACGUUGUGGAGGUCCCAUUGUCUUUUCAUAGGCAAUGGAUGUACCGUUACCCAAACUAUGUUUUAUUCAACUGUGAUGGCACCAAGCAUUUUAUUAGGGUGAGGAGAUAUGGUAGAAGAUGUUUUUUUGUUGAUGGCCUUAAGGAUUUCAGAAGAGCCUACAAUGUAAAUAAGAGUGUCAUGGUUUGUUUUAUUGCUUUUGACAUAAAUACAACUUUGUCUGUUGAUGUCAUGGGACCUAUACACAGGCAAGUGCGUGUAAGGUCUGUUGUGUCAACCAGGAGACAUUUUUACAACUGAUGUCACAGACGACAUGAUUCAUCACAGGCUCCCUUUGGUGGGUUUUACUACGCCUUCUAUCAUCGAAAAAUUUUCUUUCAACAGCGGCUUCCAGAUUUGUUUAUGGUUCCAAAAAAUAUAUUACGCUUCAGUGGGGGCUGGAAAAAUGCACCUAAUGGCAGGUCACCAUCAACGAUGGGGUGCCAUCAAUUGCUGACCCAUGGUUUCGGUACCUUGGUGAAAAAAAAUUGAUGGCUAGAGAUGAAGUUGUCUUCUACUUCCAGUUUGAUGACCAUGCAUGGGAGCUUUUGAUCAGGAAAGAAAUUGAAUGGGAGGAGCAGGACAUCCAGCUUGAAGACUGACUUCUUUUUUAUGAACAAAAUUUUAUUGUAUUUUUUUAAAAAAAAAACUUAAAUACCUUAGGAUAUUGAACAAUCUUUUGUAUUUUGUUCCUGUCGUGGAUCAUCAUCCUCAAAUUUAACCACUUUAUAUAUUAUCUGUUAUAUUACUUCAAAUGUUAA